rnacentral:tmRNA from 1 species
GGGGGCGACAUGGUUUCGACGGGUAUCACAAAGCUUAUGUUGCAGUCUGCGGGUCCAGGUCCCCGCGUUAAAAAGGCUUGAAAAAAACAAUUGCCGAAAAUAGCAAUUACGCUCUGGCAGCUUAAUUAGCCAGUGUUCUACCGGCGAGUGCCUGUGCAGUCGAAUAGAGCAUCAUUUUUACAGGACCGCGAUUGCGCGUGCUCGCUGCGCCGUCGUUAAAUUGAUGUGAGCCAGCCUUCUGAACAUCCUGUUUGCCGGAGUUUCUGAAGGUUAAAUUAAAAGACAAACUAUGACUGUAGACGCAUAAGGGGAGUAUACUCGGACGGGGGUUCGAUUCCCCCCGCCUCCACUU